AUCUCGUCCGGCGCAACCUGAACACUGUGUACGUAUCUAUUGUCCGCGUAAAGCAUUAUUGCGUCCUUUAAAUAUUUAUCACAUCAGGCAAUUUGUACGCGAGGUUCCCCUUCAACCAUGCCAAGCAUUACCGCCGGUGUGGCAAUACAAAGGGCAAUUAAAGAGGCGCUCCGGCAUUACAGAGGCUGUUGAAACAUGCCGCUGAGCGGAUUGCUGAAUUGAUGGUGAGUUUAGCGCCGAAUGCGCCAGAAGUGUGUAGAAAGCUGACGGCCAUCGGGAAGCAGUGCGUUUCGCAGACGGGAUAUCAAGAGCCAGUGACCAUGGAGAUGUCGAUGACAACAACCUCUGCAUCGCCCAAUUCCGACUUUGAAGACAGCGGCAUCAAGAAUGACACCUUCACCACGUAUGUCGACGCCUACAUUAUCUACGGACUUAUCAGCGCCUUGCUGGCGUCCUCGCUUAUCGUUCUUCUAGUAGCCGUUGCGGCUCACGCCCUUAAAAGAAAGCCAGAACGAGCGGCGAGGACUUCUUCCACCAACACCGGUUCGGCGCGGGCUCACUCGUGGGUGAUGCUCUGUCACGAAGACCGGGAGGCGGGUGCGCCAACAACCGGCUCGCCCGACGACAACGUAAUCGACUGUGAAGCUGCACCUUCGCGGCCAGACACUGUAGAGCCUCCGCGCGUUGCGGCGGGCUCGAGGCGGCUAGGAAGCCGAAGACCUUCCCUCAGCGCAUUUCUCGCUGCCACGGCGAAGAAUGCGGGUGACGGUGGGACCGCACCGAAAGCCGCUGUCGCGGAAAACGAGACGGCCGUCUGAACGGUGAUGCGUAUGAGUAGCGACGGUUUUAGGCGUCCUCGCUUCGUGGUAUAACAUGUUUGCCAGUCUGCUCGGCAUUCCGAAAUUGUUAUGUUUGUACGCGUGUCGACAGCGCCACAUAUCAGUAAAAGUUGGCGGGGAUGGAGGGUCCCAAACGUUAGUUACGCGAGAGGAAGAUGUUUUCAAAUUCGUCAAGUCAUCGCGUAUUGAAAGUGAUUUGUCUGUGUCCCUUGGAUGGAUUGUCUUCGGGGAAGUUGGUAAGGUGUCAGAGCAAGAAAAGAAAGAGAGAAGAAAGGAACAGAUAGAGCGAGUUGUACAAGACGGAAAGAAUGCACGAAUGUAUGUCAAAGAACAAUAGAAAAAGUGAGAAAAGGUCACAUAAAAGGUGAACAAAUGCUUAAGACACCGUUCUUGGAACUCGAAACAUGAUCGUCAAGCAAGCGAGCUUUUCAUCUCAAUGAAAUUAGAGCCUGACUGUCACGUGCCACGCUUAUCUGCACUGUGUCUUUUUUUUACCUAAAUCUUUUGUAAUGCGUGCCAUUAUAUUCUAUUUUGCCUUUGAUGCGUAAUGAUGGGCGUCAACACUGCGUAUUGUAGAAAACCUGUUAGUUUGGUAAUAUGUGGGAAUUUCAUGUUGAUGACUGCAGAAGAGUUACACUACGUCAAGGUGCAGUGUACGACACUGGAGUGUCUGAGUGACUGAGUGGGGACCAACGACGAAAACUUACGCACGAGAUGAGGUAUGCAAGGGCUAAGGGCUCCGGAAUAAUAUCGUUAUCUUUUAGUUCCUAAAAGCGAGCCCAAAUAAGCUGAAAUGGAUGUUUCAGCAUUCUACCAUCAGCAAGAGGUGGCCGGUAGAGUGAACACGCCACCCCGCGCUCAGCAGCUGAAUGCAACUGAGGUCGGCUAGCUAAUUAUUGCAAGUUGUAUUUUCGUCUGCCUUCCGUAUUAUAGUAUAUAUAUUUCAAACAUACAUAACAAUUCAUUCCUCCUAUGGGCCUUGUCUGGUUUCAUUGUAUUUUUUGUUCAUGUAGUUGUAAGUGAAAAAAAAAAGAAAGAAAAUUCCAACCCCUCGGAUAUCUCUAGUCCUUGCUCUCGACCCAGUGUUGGAUUCUUAACGUCUUGUGUCGCUAACUGAGCACCGACAUUCAAGAUUAACAUGGUGUACUACUCCAUGCAUCAUACUUACGUAAAUAAUGGGAUUCGAACCCAUCGCGUCCUAAAACUGGUUCCUUGUUUCUUUAUUAUUGCAGUUUGAGCUUCUCAUUGCGGCAUCCGUUGCCUUGUGAUUGCUAUUGUGUUCAUUGGUCAUUUUAUUAUCAAGAACUAAACCACACUGAGGACCAUGCGAGUAAAAAUAGGUCGCACAUGGUGCUCAUUUCUAAACUGAAUGGGGCCCGACAGUCCCAAAGAAAGAGAGAGAGAGAGAGAGGGAUUAAUGUAGGGCGGGUGAGCCGAUGGCAUCCAGAAAUUUCAGGAGGCGACAGGGGCGUACGUUGAAGUGUCGGCCCUACGGUGUAGGCUUAUGGGUCAGCUGCCAGUAUUUACGCCAGGGAAAGCACAGCGCUCGCGGUCCGCCCGUGGCGUUCUGGAACGGGUGCGGAUGACGUUGGCUGGCAAUGGAUGGAGCAGUGAGGGCAUGCUCGAGGGAUUGUGUUGUGGGCCGCUCUCCUGGAUGCGGGAGCUGCCAGUGUUACCAGCACAUCCAGUCUCCGGAUGCACCGCAGAAACGAAAAGGGACGUUGUCCAUUCCGAGCGGUAAACAGCGCUAAACAACAGGACGAAGAGAGGGACACAGACCACAUGCAGCACUGACUAGCAAUCAAUCUUGGUUGUUAGUCAGCGCUGUGCUCUGUGUCCUUCUCUUCGUCCUGUUGCUUAGCGGUGUUUACUGCUCGUAAUCAUGAACCAACCAGCUCAUAUCCGUACUCUUCUGCACUGGUCAAUUCAUCUCUUGGUUCUUCUUUUAGUUUAUAUUUGUCCUUUCUUCGCAAUGUACGGCGUCAGACUCGCCAAACUUGUGGUGGUUCCGUAUUUCGCAUUUAGUAUCGUAACGUUUCUAUGCGUCACAUGCUUCGUGCCUUCAGUUUGCACUGAUGAUAGCCGAGAGCUCAAUCUUGAGCAAUUACACCUACUGUAACGUAUGCCACAGAACUUAUUUGCGCGUGUAUAUCUUAUUGUUGUGUUAUUCAUCGCCUAACAUUUCCAUUCCCGCUAUUCGUGUCAUGGGGCGCUAAAGUGUGAAGCUAUUCCAAACUGUUUCGGUUCCAUUUCUGCAAUCAGCACUCCACGAUUGGCCAAAUAUUUUUCAGGCUAUCGCCGCUUCGCCUGUCUGUCAGGCAAUGUCACGAAAACCGCGAAAACUCCCGAUUCGAUAUUGCGUGUGCAUACUGAUUAUGCAUGAUUAGACCGAAAAAAAGUUAUUAUUGCUGAUUCAACACUUUUUUCGCCAUGAACCCUCCGAUACUACUCAAAAUCUUUCUGGCUGCGUCCACUUCGCUUUUCUGUCACGAGGCGUCGCAACACCGCGACAACUCACCGCGUGAAAGUGCGCAUUGCAGAUGUAUUAAUAUACCGAAGAAAACUGUGCUUUCUUCGUAGUAGCCGGAGAGUGCGCCGUUCUGAAAGGAAUAGAAGAUGUCUGCCCUCCGAUCGCUCUAGCCCUCGCUACUCGGAGCUGUCGGAGAGAACGGAAUUUAUUUGCGUAUAAUUUUUACGUGGCAGCAUAACGUUACUAAGCCCUUUCGGCACAUAUGCGACAUCUCUCUGCCAACUGUUCUUCGACAAAGAUCCGAUGUAAUGGCACUCCUUAACCUUUCAUGUUACGCCGCCGCAAUUUUCGUCCAGCCACUGCAAGCUAAGCCAGGGGAAGCGGGCCAAUCCCAGAUGCCGUUA